AUUGAACGCUGGCGGCAGGCCUAACACAUGCAAGUCGAGCGGAUGACGGGAGCUUGCUCCUUGAUUCAGCGGCGGACGGGUGAGUAAUGCCUAGGAAUCUGCCUGGUAGUGGGGGACAACGUUUCGAAAGGAACGCUAAUACCGCAUACGUCCUACGGGAGAAAGCAGGGGACCUUCGGGCCUUGCGCUAUCAGACGAGCCUAGGUCGGAUUAGCUAGUAGGUGAGGUAAUGGCUCACCUAGGCGACGAUCCGUAACUGGUCUGAGAGGAUGAUCAGUCACACUCGAACUGAGACACGGUCCAGACUCCUACGGGAGGCAGCAGUGGGGAAUAUUGGACAAUGGGCGAAAGCCUGAUCCAGCCAUGCCGCGUGUGUGAAGAAGGUCUUCGGAUUGUAAAGCACUUUAAGUUGGGAGGAAGGGCAGUAAGUUAAUACCUUGCUGUUUUGACGUUACCGACAGAAUAAGCACCGGCUAACUCUGUGCCAGCAGCCGCCGUAACAC
rnacentral:rRNA from 1 species